rnacentral:lncRNA from 1 species
CCACGAAGCACAUCAUGGCGAACAUGGCGAACACCUGUCGAUGAAAGAGGACAUUUUUCGAAUGACGCUGGCACCGCGCUGAAAGAAAAUACAGAAAACCACCAUGCUUUAGGUUUUUCUGUCUCUCCUUCCUUUCCGCUGAGGCCUCUAAAGCAGGCACAACUAUUUAAGACAUGUUUAUUUCUUGGGUGAAAAUUGUGUUGCAAACAAAUAAGUCUAGUGAA